CCCUAUACCUACACUCGCUUUCUGCCUGAUCAGUUCAAAUCACUAUCUGAGAUGCUGACUGGUGUGGGGUCACAAGAUGCUGUGACAUUCUGGAAGAGGAGCACAAUGUCAUCACAAAGUGAUGACAAAGUAAUGACAUCACAGGGAGGUCAACACUCCCAUGAGUCCCUCAGACUUUGGUCCUUGCAGGUCUCUGUGUUUCCUCCUCUUUCCCCAGGGCUUCUCCAAGGACAUUUUCUGAAGCCUUUCCAUCUGCUGAGCCAAAGAGAUUGCUCAAGACCAGAUGUGGAGAGCCCUUGGCCCAGUGAUCACAGCAGCUUCCACUUGACAGUGGCUGGAGGUUGACACAGGCCUGUGAGGCACAUGAACUCACCCCUGGUGUCCUGAUGACAGCCCCUUAAAAAGCAGCUCUGAACUCUGGUCCUACCUGGCCCGAUGAGGCCUGUGCUGUGGGAUAUGUGACAUGGAGCUGCCCCCAUGCAGGGUGAUCCCUUUGUUAAGCCACCGAAGAUGAAUUAAGGCACCAACGUGCCUGGAGGUGUCCUGGGGAUACAAGAAGUCAGGAAUUAAUUCUGUCAUGUCACCACCACUGUCAGGAGGACUCAUUAAAGCUGAACAAGAAUCAAAGGAUGAUUUGCCAGGAAGGAAAUAAAGACCCUCAUGACAAAGUGGGGGGCAGAGAAGGGCAGUGCACCGAGUCUCACUGCAUCAACUCAAGCUGUAAAUUAAACUGCAGUUGAUGGGAUGGGAUCUGGGUCUGGGGAGGCAUAGGCAGCAGUUUGGGGAGCUCCUCCUGGUGGUGGCCUGGAGCUGCUCCAGGCCUCUCCUUUUUUCCCAAGUUGUGACAGCUGUUUCAUGAACUGUGCAGUAUGAAAAAGUCAGCAGCAGCCUAUAAAACAUGUUUCCCUCGUUUCCCCUUUCUGUUGUCAAGAAGCUUCUGAUAUUCAAUGUAGUUGCCUUCUCCCAACACAAAAACAAUUGCUUCUUGGAAUGGAUUUUUGUUCCUCGGAACUGAGCUGUCACUGCCUGGCAGCAUCUGGGAUCAAAAUAUCUACAGUCAUCGUUUCAGCGUUUGACUUCAUGUCCCUGAAGACAGGUAGGUCGUGCUGUUUCUGAGCCGCCUUUGUCACUCUUGCCAUCGUACACUGCGAUCUUGUGUUGGGGACUCGUUUGGCAAUGCCUGAGAUGGCAGGAGCUGAAGCCGUCCCAACAAACGCCUUCCGCUGUUUGAUGUAUUGUAAGGAAUUAAGGUUGCAUCCUGCGUCAGUUCCAGCUUUUUGGUGUGGCUCCAAAUCAGCCUCAGAAACUGUUUGCUGUGCACUUACAUGAUAGAUAAGAAAUGCCUCAUUUAUCUCCUGGAUUGCCUGCAUCAGAGUCUGAUAUUACAUCUAAAAGAGAUUUACCCAAAGAAGCUUUGCUCAUUAUUUUUUCUUUAUAUUCAAAACACACAUCCAGUUUUCUUGCCUUUACAUAUCCUAAGACAGCAGUGGCAACAUUUUAUGGAGAUCAGUAAGUCUUUUUCCCCUCUCCAAGGUCUUCUGGCAAAGAACCAAAAGCUGAGGAUAGCUGAGCAGUGUUGUCAGGAAGCAUCCUCAUGGCCCCUUCAUCUUCCUCUUCUGGCCCCAUAGCACUUCUCAGGUGUUUGACCUCAUGUUCUCACGCUCUGCUCUAAGAUUCUAGGUCUUGCUGAACUGAUUCCCAAACCUCUGGGAAUGGACUUCCUUUACGUUUCUGCCAAAAUGUAUCAACUGGAGUUAAAUCAUACGACUUCCUGGUUUUGUCUCUAGGUCACGCUAGCACCAGCCAGGGACUUUUUCACUCCUGAAGAUUCUUCCAGGUUAACUCUGUGUACAUGGAAAUCGUAGGACUGAUAUGCCCAAAUAUGAUGUAGAGGAGUUCCCAGAUCCACGUUUCUGUCAACAGGAGUGAAGAAGGCUUUGAAAGCUGAAGCUGCCAGCUCCCAGCGCAUCACCUGUAGUGAAACCAUUUUUGGCGUCUCUUAGAUGUUCCGGAAACUUCUUAUCUGUUUUCACUGCUCCCGUUUCCAUUGCUAUUCCUGCUAAUUAUCUGAUUAUAGGAAUAGUACCCAGCAUAACAGAAAAGCAGAAGAGGCUGUCAACAUUCUGGUGCGUAACAGUUUUCAUUUCCGCAUUUGUGAUUUCUGAACUGUUAAUGGCACAAUAUGAAACAUUUCCUCAUUUUUGAUUGCAUCAUCCAGGCGUAUCAUUUUUCAAAGUAAUAAAAUCGAGAUACUGAUCAAAAGCUAGCUACUUGGGUAACUGCGUAGCUGCUAAUCCUACAUUUGCAAUAUAUUCCAGUUUACUCCUUGAAAGGGCAGAAAUAAAGUUCAAAUAAGCUGGUUCACACAGAGUUGAUUUAAAAGAACUAGAGUAGUGGUUUAUUAUAAAAGGAUACAACCAGGAACAGUCAGAUGGAAGAGAUGUGAGGUAUGUGGAAGGGGGCGGAGCCCUCCCCAAGAAAGCAUUUCCCCAAGUCUCCAGGUGUCCACCAACCCAGAAGCUUCCACCCACCUUUGUCACUUGCCUCCAGCUCAAACCUGCUCUUCUCCUUGGGCCAAGCCCUCCGACACUCCCCUCCCGCCUCUUCCCUCUUGCCCUGCAGAGACCUGCGCUUCCUCACCUCCACCUGCCUCCCCUCUGCUGGCUUCUCAUCUGCACAGACACACACUCAAGAACCAUCCAUCCACACUGAAAAUAUCAUUUCUCUGCCACACCAACUGUAGGCCACACUUCAUUCUCCACUCACAGAGAAACUUCCAGGGAGACACGUGCAGCAGGAGAAGGUUUUCACGGCACAUCUAAGGUACUUAUUCUUCCGGUGUUCCUGUCACUGUGGCCACCCCACCCACUGUGGUGGGCUGCAUUCAGAGGCUGAAGGGAGUAUCACAGGGGUGCCCCAUCCAUGUGCCAUCCUCCCCCUAAUAGACCCCCCACCCUGUUUAGGAACAAACCCCAUGGCGCAUACUGAGAGUAAAAUUACUUGCUAUUUAUCUGAAAUUAGCAUUAACUGGCUUCCCAUAUUUUAUUUGCUAAAUGUGACAAUUCUACUUGGAAUGACUUGGGUAUGUCUUAUCUCUCUGAAGUGUCAGCUAUAAGUCUAAACAAGCACUUUGGACCCUAACUUGCAUGUGUCUUUAUAGAAGAGGUUUCUGUAAUGUGAAGUAUCACUUCCCAGCCAAGGGUCUUCCCCCAGCCUGGGGAUUCCAAUUGUCGACCCUGUGGUCUGUGGGGAGAGCAGGCAGUAACGGGGGCUCGCUGUCCUCUGUCCUCCAGCAUGUGCCUGGGGAAAUACUGACACGGGUCCAUGUAGGAAACAUAAGAGGAUGUUCUCUGAGCUUGUGUGUGGCAGCUGGGAGUUGGAGGCUUCCUGGGGAUGUGGGGGGAAAACGUGGUGGGCAACCACCCCCACCCCUGAGUACAAUGCAGCUGAGAAAACCAAUGGAAUCACUGUGCACUUAGCAACAUGAGCAUCUGCUCAAAACAUAAUUAUCUGUAACAUGCUACAGUGUCAUAAAUAGAAUGAAAUACAUAACACAAUGCCGUCAGUGUUUAUUUCAAUAUAUAAGCCCAUAAAAGAGCAGUGGGCAUUUUGCAAGACCACAUUCAAAAAAAAGAUAGUCAUUAAACACUGUUCAAGGAUUUUCUUAAAAACAAAAUCUUACAAAAGAGUCUCAAUAAACACACAAAUAAGGUAAAAUUUCAAUUAAAAAAUUUUUAAGAUACUAGUAAACACAGUUUUGGGGCUUCCUGGGUGGCUCAGUGGUAAAGAAUCCACCUGCCAUUCAGGAGAUGCAAAUUCAAUCCCUGGGUUGGGAAGAUCCCCAGGAAGAGGGCAUGGCGACCCGCUGCAAUAUUCUUGCCUGGAUAAUCCCAUGGACAGGGGAGCCUGGCGGGCUAUGGUCCCUGGGGUCACAAAGAGUUGGACACGAUUGAAGCAACUGAGCAUGCACGCACGCAAACACAGUUUUAUGAUUCUGUAACAGCACGAGAGGAACGGGAAUAAAAAGGUGAAUAAAAAAUUAAUAAAACUAGAUGGAAUCCAUGUGCAGAUAAAUGACAUGUCAUCUUUCUAGUGUGGUUAGUUCACCCCAUUUGUCUUAAGGUCCAGAAAAGAAGGUGAAGACAGAAACAGUGAACGAGGGGCUGUGAGACCUAUGGAGGCCCCUCCGAGAGGCCAUCCCAGGUCUGCCUCCCACACCCCGUAAAGAACAACCUGCUCUCUUCCUCCACCAGUCACUGUGAAUGGGGGAGCCCAGCUGUUGUACUAUUUGCCAAAGGCAGACAUUUUAAAAACAUAAUUCUCCUGGGAUGAAAUCAUUAAUUAAAAUGGAAAAUUCACAUAUUCUCAAAGCAAGUAUAAAUUAACUGGGAAUUAUUCACUCAGAUCAUUUUAGUCCGUGGAUGAAAACGCUGAGAUGUUAAAGCUGGUGCACAGACAAGACUCUUGACACUUCCUGAGAUUCUCCUUGUGCUUGGAUGUCUGUGUCCCGUCUAACAGCUGUUUUGAUUGGAUUUUUGUGAUCUCUGCUCUGCUAGUGAGAGAUAAUGUACGUGCAUUUCACAAAGAUGGGAAGAUUCAGGGGCCCUUCUCACCCAGACACGCACCCAGGGAGGAAGAUGCCAGCAAACAAAGCCAAAUUUUAAAAGCUUCCCAUCUGUUUAGCUGUGAGUGAUGAAUGUUGAUGGCAGGGAGAGGAGAUCAGAAAACCCAGAGCCUCAAAGAAAAGAGAGUGCAAUCAUCCACAUUCUAUCAUCAGGCAAAUCACCUUUAGCAUUAAUGCUGUAUCUUUUCCAUUUUUAGAAUUUUGUCUAAACUAAGGCACACAUAUAAUGCACAAUAUAUAUUUAACCUCAUUUAUGCCUAAAAAUGGGAGCAUAUUAUAAAGGACAUUUCCUGACCUACACCAUCACUUGAUACACUGCAGAGACCACUACACAUGCAUUACACAGAUCUGCACAAGCAUCUUAUUCUGAGAGUGUUCAUUGACACUAUCCUGAAGUCCACUGGGCAGCUCUCUCUCUGGUCCCUCAGGAUUCCCAGAGACUUUGAUAUCACACAUGGAGAUGAAAUAAGUGUCCCUGGGUUGCACGUUUUCCCUUAGCACAACCUCCAGCAGUGGGUCUGCACUUUGCACACAGAACAAGUAAAACUGAGGCAUGAGGUUUCUUAGCCAGAAAGCUGUGCAGAGGGGUGGAUGAGAAAGGGAAGCUCCUGAGAGUCAUAACAUGCCAGGGAGAGAGCAGAGAAAAUGGAGACCAAGAAAGAGAACUAUAUGGACAUUUCUGAACUACUGCUAGGUUCCCCUGACCCAAGCAUAUAUGCUCUGACACUAACCAGCACACUGUCCCCAGGGUAGACCACUGCCCAGGUCCCACACUGACUGAUGGAUAGAACAGACAAGGACAGAUGCAUAUCGCACUUCAGAGGCUUUGGAACUGAAUUGGACCACAGCCCAUGCAACGAAGUCAGGGACUUGCUGCAUGUACCUACCCAAGUCAACUGUCCACUAAAACAAACCUUCGCUGCAGAAUUUAAACAAGA
ensembl:lncRNA